CGAAUCUAUCUUUAAUUUUGGUUCUGACUUUUUCGGUGAAGAGAGGAGGGAGACCACUAAUGAAUCACUCCUUCCAGAAGUCAUUGUUACAGUCAGGUCGGAUCAUGACCUUUACCAGGAAGGUAUCUUUGUACCAUCGAAAGUCUGCUAAGUCUUUGCAGGUGAGAUUGUUGAGGAUCUCUAGGCUCCUAUCUUGGAAUAAUUUUGGUUCUCCUAUGAAGUGUCUAGCUAUAUGGUAUAGGAGAGUGGCACAAGCGUCUUCUUUUGCUACUUGCUCAAGAAUUUGUUGUCCAUUUUCAGUCUUAACAACAGUUUCUACGGCUGUGGCUCCAUAGAUUAAGUUUUUGACAUCAUCGGUGAAGUAAUUAUCCCACCAAUGUUU
rnacentral:lncRNA from 1 species